UCGUUGGAGAGGGGUUGGUAAUCCUGUAAUAUAAACUGGUUAAAGGUUUGGUUAGAAAUUUUUUGCAUUUGGGCUGAUUGCUAUGUUUACAUAGGGUGGCUGAAUUAAUAGCAUUUUUUGGGACAUAUGUGUAGGCAGAAAAGCAACCUGUAGGGCAAAGGGAAUCCUUGAUGGUCCAAUCUUUUGGACGGUCUGAAAGAGAAGAAAGGGCUGGCACUGGGAAGAUAGGUCUGGUGAGAGAAUAAGUGUUGAGACCAGGGUUAACAAUCCUGAGGCGUGACGCAUGGCUGUUGUAAGGGAGGUCUUAGGACUCUGUGCUGGCAGAAACUUCUUCAGUGAUGAGUGGAAGUGGAGAUGAGCAGCGUGAAAUGCGGAGUAAGAGGUCCCUUCAGGGUGGAGGAGUAGGAAGCUGUGGGAGACUUGGUGGGAGGGGAAUAAGCUGAGACAAAUGGCUUAUGGUGGGAGUUGUGUAUCUAAUGGGGAAGACCCUGGAGUUUAACUGCAGUUGGUGUGGAAAGGAUUACCGUGUAUGGUCUUUGCCAUUUGGGAGUUAGGGAUGGUGUUGCUUGGUGUUUGGAAUGGGCAUGGUUUGGAGAAGUUUUUUCCUGUCUAUGGUAAUGGCCUUGUAGCGCGAGGAUAGCUGAGCUCCCAGAUAUGUGACCUGAGCGGCAGACAGCUGAACUUUGGAGGGUGAAACUCGAUAGCUUAAGGGAUUUGAGGUCUUGUGUUAGAGCCUGUCCAAAAAGGUGGGGACUGUCUCUAAAGCCUUGGGGAAGGACUUGUUAAGUGUUCUCUGAAUAUUAAAAAUUAAGUUAACAUAA